GGGUGCGAUAAUACCAACACUAAUGCACCGGAUCCCAUCAGAACUACGUAGUCAAGCGUGCCCAGGCGAAAGUAGUACUAGGAUGGGUGACCUCUUGGGAAGUCUUCGUGUUGCAUCCC
rnacentral:rRNA from 1 species